rnacentral:rRNA from 1 species
CAGCCGCCGCGGUAAUACGUAGGGGGCAAGCGUUACCCGGAUUCACUGGGCGUAAAGGGGGCGUAGGCGGCCGUGUAAGUCCGGUGUGAAAUGCCACGGCUCAACCGUGGAACUGCGCUGGAAACUACACGGCUUGAGGACGGUAGAGGGAGACGGAACUGCUGGUGUAGGGGUGAAAUCCGUAGAUAUCAGCAGGAACGCCGGUGGGGAAGCCGGUCUCCUGGGCCGUUCCUGACGCUGAGGCCCGAAAGCUAGGGGAGCAAACCGGAUUAGAUACCCGGGUAGUCCUAGCCGUAAACGAUGCCCACUAGGUGUGGGGGAAUAAUUCCUCCGUGCUGUAGCUAACGCGUUAAGUGGGCCGCCUGGGGAGUAUGCCCGCAAGGGUGAAACUUAAAGGAAUUGGCGGG